GUAAGUACUAUACCUUAAGGGCAGCUCAGGACCUCGCUCAAGACCAUCACUUUCCUGGGAGUGAGGGGCUGAGAUAUGUUCCUCUGACCUAUACUGCCUCUUGGUUAUCCAGCUGUUUGUUUGUUGUUGAUUUGUUUUUUGGCAGUUUUGUUAGGUAGGCCAGGCUGACUUCCACAAGGCAAUCUUCCUGUCUCAGCCUUCAGGUGCUAGAAUUAGAGGCAUGAACUACCACACCCAGCUAAAUCCUUCUCUUUGGCCUUUGAGACAAGGUCUCUCUAUGUAGGCUGUCCUGGAGCUAAGUACACAGACUGGUCUAGCUUCAAACACACAACGAUUCUCGCCUCUGCUUCCCUAGGGCUGAGUUUAAAGCUGAGCAACAACAAACCGGCUUAAACUGGUUCUUUUAUUACUCAACAUUCUAAGAGUUUCCGGAAGUUCUGAUAGUAGAAAAUAAUGCCAAGAUUUCUCCCUCCACUCCAGUUUUCAUAAAAGGAGAUGGAAUAUACAUUCAAAUUAUUAUGUGUUCUAUGUUAGAGUCAAAACUUGGAGUUUAUCAGUGUGUGCAUACAUCCACCUCUUCUUUUUAUUAACUUUUAUGAAACCUGCUUCGUCUAUUUGGAGGCAGGCCACAAACAGGGACCCAGCAAGAUGGAGCUCGCCUGUGCGUUUACUGCGUGGUCUUGGCCUUUUGGUUCAUUUAUCUUCCAUCUGAUUAUGCAACUCUCCCUCCACAUCUUGACUGAUACUCUGGGCCAGCUCAUGCCCACAGCGUCCUUAACGCUCCGCUUCUGGGGGACACAAGGACCAGCCCAAAGGGACUGAGAAGGACGGCUGCUUACUGUUGCGCUGACUCCUUACACAGCUUCUCGACUUACUCAUUCAGCAGCGCUUUCAGAUGGAGCUGUAAGCUGCGCACUGCCGUGUGGACGUUGUUCAGCUCUCUCCACUUCGGCUGGGUUUUGGGUAAGCGCUGAGGGACUGACUGGUGCUGAGUUUCAAAGUACCGAAAGAACUCAUAGCUGCGCUUUAGCUCGUCCAAGCAGGCAGUGUGAGCAUGAGGUAGACCUUGAGUCACAUCAGAGAGAAUACGAUGAGGCAAGAGUGCAGCAGUCAGUAAGGGCCCAGAAGGCGAAUUUGCUGUGGAAAGUAGCAGAGCUAGGCGUCUGAAGAACUCUGAACUCUGUGCCACCCAGAGUUGGAACAAAACCUAUGAGAGAGAUGGGGGACGGGUGGGGAGACCGAAAACAUACCGAUUAAUAAAAAUGUCAAUAUGCAAAACAAACUACAAACUUACCAUCUGACUUUAAAUUUUCCCACAUUAUCCUAAAGGACUCUAUACUGAAUUACACAGUCAUAACCUGUGAGUUGUUAGGGCUCUAGUACAGAAGCCACUACCUAUAUGGAAUUUAGCACAGUCCUAUCCUAGAUAGAAAUGACCUAAGAAUGGGUGGAGGGCUGGAGAGAUGGCUCAGUUCCCACCACCCGUGUGACAGUUUACAACUGCUUGUAACUCCAGCUCCAGGGGAAACUGAUACCUCUGACUUCAUGUGGUGUACACAGACACAUAUAACUUAAAAUAAUAAGAUGAAGCCAGGUAUAGUGGCAGAUGCCUACAAUGCCAGACUCAGGAGGCAGAGGCAGGCAGAUUUGCUGAGUUAGAGGCCAGCCUGGUCUACACAGUGAGUCUCAGGACAGCCCAGGUUAUGCAUAGAGACUUCCUGUCUCACAAAUUUAUUAGGAAUGAAUUUUCCUUAAAAUGUAUUUUGAGGCUGAUGAGAUAGCUUAGCAGGUAACGGAGGCACUGCACACAUGUGGUGCAGACAUACAUGCAGGCGAAACAUCCACAUACACAGAUUCAAAAAAAGACUUUGGGGUUCAAGCCAGCUGUGGUGGUGCACACCUUUAAUCCCAGCACUCAGGAGGCAGAAGCAAACAGAUCCCUUCAAAUUCUAAGGCUGGUGAAGGCUACAGCCUUGAGAUCCUAUCUCAAGGAAAAGAAAAGAAAAAAAUAAACUGGGGUUCAGAGUGAGACUACUACUUUGUCCUAAGAAUUAGCAUGACUGGCAUGAAAACUGCAAACCUAUUUUUUUUUUUUUAAAGAAUGAUUACGUGUGUACAUGUGUUUGCUAUAGCGGCCGGAAGAGGCUGUCGGAUCUCAUGGAGUUGGAGUUACAGGUGGUUGUGAGCUGUUUAACAUGGGUAAUGAGACUGAACUCGGGUCCUCAGAAGAACAUUAUAUGCUCCUAACUACUGUAUUAUCUCUCCAGUCUCUGUGAAUUUAUGCUUGAGAGAUAUAACAGAAAGCAAGAGAGCUAAGGACCUCUGCAGACACAGUCCUAACCUAUGGGACAAUAGCCCCAAAGCAAACACAUAACGAAGCACUUUAGCACUAACAAGUAAAACACAGCAAACAGAUCAAUCUAUUUCAGACAAUUUAGAUUCCAAUUAUUCACAACCUUGAAAAUAGAUAUUCUUGAGAUUUUUUUUAAAUGAAUUUCAAAUUAUGCAAAUGAUUUCAUGUGACUCUACACAGACAGGCAGAGAGAGAGAGAGAGAGAGAGAGAGAGAGAGAGAGAGAGAGAGAGAGAGAGGAGAUGCACAUAUACUGAUGAAGGGAAGGAAAGAAAGCAAUAGAGGGUAAGGCCAGGAAGGUCUCUGAGAGUGUAAUCUAGAAAGAAGCAUGGUCCAUUAAGGCAUUCUAUGACACAUGAGUUUUAUGUCCAGAGUCCUGUGGCAGUAACAUACGUAGCAUAUCUAAGAACAGCAAGGUCAAUGUGGUUGGACCCAGGUUAAGCAGAAAGGAGCAUGGUGUAUUGUGCAAUUCUGGAUUUUAGUGAGAGAAACAGGGAGUUACUGAGCACAAGAAUAAAAUAAAAAAUAAAACUUUUGGUUUAACAGGCUCCUUCCAGCUGUUGAUUUCAAGAAUGGGAGAGUACAGGUCAGGGUUAGGAAAAUCGUCCAAGUCCAUGUACCCUGGAGCCCAGCACUCCUCGGGAGGAAAAGUGAUGGUGAGGAGAGAACAGCACAGGCACAAGAGGACCGCCUCGGUGCACUGAGGAGGAGGAGCCUGCAAGUGCACUGAGGCAGUGAAUCAGGAGGUUUGGCACAAACAUUAAAAAGGAGCUGGUUGGCAUCCAAGUGAUGCUUUAAAAAUACAGACUUAUUGAAUUUCUGCUACACACCAAAGCUCAGAAAUACAUUUUUUUCUCCUGUUUGUUCUUUGGAUAAGGUAUAUAUAUUCUUCUUCCGCUUGUUCUUCUGGAUAAGCUGCUUUGGCUAAGGGAAUAUCCAAAGCUUACGGGUGAGUAACACAUUAUUUUAAUUUUUAAAUACUUCAUGGCAUCUGGAUUCAUUUCUUAAAUCAGAAAAUACAGUGUUUAAUUAACAACAACAACAACAAAAACUAGUUAAUCACUUAAAGAAUCCAGGCACAGUGCCAUAUACUUAUAAUCCCAGUUACUGAGCAGAUAAGAGGAUUACUUGAGAUCAUCAGUUCAAAACUAGCCAGACAUAGUGAGAUCCUGCCUCAAAAAACAAAAAACAAAACAAAACAAAAAACCCAAAAAACCCCCCAAAAACAAUCAAACAAACCAAAUACUGCAACAACAACGCAAGAGGAAAAAGUCUUUCACUCCUCUAAAGAGAGAAUUCACUAUACUAGGGAUUAUUUAUUUUUGAGAUUUAAGUCUAUGUGUAUACCUAUAUACUUAAAAGGAAGUUAUCUCCUUGGGCUAAUAGUAACUCCCUGCCCCAAGAGCCAUAGACAACCUAACAAAACUCCCAAUAGGAGGCAUGAGAAGCCACAUUUUGAGUUGCUGGCCAAGGGAAUCCAAGAACCUCCCAAACAAUAAAGGCCACUGAUGUGGCACGUCAUUACUGCCCAGUGGCUGAAGAUGCCAUGCACUUUGGACACAGGACCCAGAGGAUCAAAGCCGAUCUGACCUGAAAGCCUGCUCCCUGAAGACUAGCUUCUUAGUAUGGAAAGGUGCCAUGCGAGUUUCCAAAGGAGCAAGACAACCCAGUCCUUCGGCUGUAAUUCCUGUGACCCACAAGGACAACUAGCAUGGCAGCAGUGGCACGUACAUCUUGGUGGUGACCAACAACUCUCUAGUGGAACUGAAGGCCCGAUCAGGAGGAGGGACAGUAUGCCUGGUGCUGGGAACCUAGCCAAGUACAGGGUGCUAGUGAGGAUCUUAGAGAGAACCUAACAUUGUCACUUUACUAAACCAGCAUGAUUGCUAACGUCCUUGUAAGUAUCUACCAAAAUACCCAUAGGUAAGUACAGCGCUCACGUCUCAUUGCCUCUCUUUGCAACAGCAGACCCUUACAGAACACUACAAAGAAUACGAAGUACAAGGACAACGGAUCACGGGGUGCCAAGCCCCAGGUGAUACAUCUAGAAUGUAAGGAGAAGCACUGAGGAGGGGCAGAAAGCUUGGAAGAGCAGAGUCCUUGAGAAGCUGCUAUGAGAUCAUGUCUCCUAGAAAGGAAAGGGAAACUCACCCACGGUGCCUAAGCAAUACAGCUGCUUAAACAAGACCUGAAGAAGUAGAACAGCAGAAGGCUUGGGAGGGGGGGGAAAGCUCGUGGGGCCCCACUCCUAGACAAAGAACUACAGGGAACUAAGAAAUGCUGAGAGCGGUGGUAGUAGUCUGCCCCAGGGAUGGGUCCUUAGUUGUUUAUCCAGUACUAUAUGGUCAGCCCUGAUGUCAUAUACACACAGGAAUUACUACAUGGACUGAGCAGGAUGUAUUUACAUAUUUAGGCAUUCAUACACAGAGACACAUGCACAUGCACACACCAGGUGGAUGGGUAGGUUAUAUUAAUAUAUUUAGGCAUUUACACACACACACACACACACACACACACACACACACACACACACUCACUCACACACUCACACACUAUAAUUAACAACUAAAGAAAAGGUGCACAUUACAGUAACAACUAAAGAAAAAGAAGCCAUGAUUUGGAGAUGGCGAUGGAGAUGGGAUACAUGGGAGAUGUUGGGAAGGGGGAAAGGAAAAGGAGAAAAUAAUGUGAUUAUAUUUUAAUUAAAAAAACAAACAAACAAACCAGAAAACAAAUGAAAAACGACAUCAAAACCUAAAUAGGAAACUCAGUAGUUAUCUUAAUGACUGAACAAAAAUAACUUAAAGAGAUGUAAAAACAUUAAAAUCGAUUUUCUGAAUCCUUCUUAAAAACUAGCAACGAGGAGCAAAGAAAAGGGUGGAGUGAUGGCUCAGUGGUUAUAACACAUGCUCACAAAGGACCUGGCUUUGAUUCCCAGCUCCACGUGGGGGCUUAUAUGUGGUGCUGGGAAUUGAAGUUAAGUCAGGGUCUGGGGGUCCAACACCGUCUUUUGACUUUCAGAUAUGUAUAUGGUGCACAGAUGCACAUGCAUUCAAGGCAUUCAUAUACAUAAAAUAAAAUUUAAAAGACAGGGAAGCACAUAGCGUGUGAACUUAAAUACGUAUCUCUAUAACAAACAAGAGGCAGUGACUGUAGGGACCCAUUAAGUGACCAGCUCUGCUUUAGACAUUUUGAGAGUCUUCUCAUUUACUCUAACAUUUUAAAAAGCAGUUGUGUUUUUACUACCUUUAAAGAAAAAGAUGUGAUGGGUCUAAAGAAUAGUUUAUAUUUAAGGUCAAAUCAGAGUCCAGGUUAAAAUAUAAAAUCACUUCUGCUGAAUUAAAAAUCUCUCAAGUUAGCGCAAGGCCCUGGGUUCGGUCCCCAGCUCCGAAAAAAAGAACCAAAAAAAAAAAAAAAAAUCUCUCAAGUUAUUCUUUCAAGAAGACAUUGCUUUAUAGAGUAAAAGUGUGAUCAUGAGGAUUACCCUGGAAAUAACAGAAAUGGCUUAAAGCCUCCACACCCUGUGAGCACUGUUAGCAGUUCUGCUACUCUUUCCCUGCCCUAAAGCGCAGUCCUGGCUCCUCUGUAACCACGCACCUGACUGCUGCAGAGGAAGCAGACGCUGUACAAAGGUUUAGCAUGCAGACCUACUCUGACUCAUGCGGCCAUUCCUUCAUUCUCUCACAGCUCCCACCUCUGAAAAGCUCUCAGCAUUAAAAACGAGGACAUCAUGAGUUUUGCAGGCAAAUGGAUUGAAUUAGAAAAUAUCAUCCUGAUUGAGACAGGAGCCUGGCACGGCUGUCCUGUGAGUGGCCCUACCAGCAGCUGACUGAGACAGAUGCAGAUUCUUCCAGCCAACCACUGGAGUGAUGUCAGGGACGCCGAUGGAAGAGUUAGAAGGACUGAAGGAGCGGAAUGGGAUGGCAACCCCAUAGGAAGAACAAUAGUUAUCAACUAACAUGGACCCCUAGGAGCUCCCGGAGACUGAGCCACCACCACAGACCAUCCAUGGCACAUACGCAGCAGGGCUGACUAGUCUGGUCUCGGUGGGAGAGGAUGUGCCUGUAGAGAGUUGAUGCCCCAGGGAAGGGGGCUGUGAGGGAGGGGGUGAG